rnacentral:rRNA from 1 species
UACAGAGGUCCCAACCGUUGUCCGGAAUUAUUGGGCGUAAAGAGCUUGUAGGCGGUUUGUCGCGUCUGCUGUGAAAUUUCGGGGCUCAACCCCGAACUUGCAGUGGGUACGGGCAGACUAGAGUGUGGUAGGGGAGACUGGAAUUCCUGGUGUAGCGGUGAAAUGCGCAGAUAUCAGGAGGAACACCGAUGGCGAAGGCAGGUCUCUGGGCCAUAACUGACGCUGAGAAGCGAAAGCAUGGGGAGCGAACAGG